ensembl:snRNA U2 U2 spliceosomal RNA
AUCGCUUCUCGGCCUGUUGGCUAAGAUCAAGUGUAGGAACCUCUAUAAAUGUAGUAAUUUAAAUUCUCCUUUGAGUCAGUUAUAACAUCUUACUGGCUCCCUCAUUAAUUAAUGAGUUAAAUAAAAUCUUUGACAGAUGUUCCUCUUAUUUUUGUAUGAGAAUCAUAAAU